UUACAAUUCAAUAUUCAUAAUAUUGAAAAAACACGCGCAAGCGGUGCAGUGGCGCGUGAUCCAUUAUCAUGGCGACUCUCCUCCUUGCACCUCUCAACUCUCUUCCUCCCACUCUCCAACUCCGAAACCCUAAUCCCAAAAUCAACACCCAUCACACUUCCACUUUCCCCACUCCCUUCAAACCCCGACGACACCGCACCCAAAUCAUUCGCGCUUCGGAAAAAAAGCAACAACAAGAUUCCAACCCUAAAACCCUACAAGAUGACGAAGUGAACGAUGUAGGAGUUAAAGUUGCGCUUUCCAUGUUGAGAUUCUACAAACGGGAAAUUUCACCCGUCUUGCCGACGAGCUGUCGUUACGUUCCAACUUGCAGUGAGUAUUCCAUGGAAGCUUAUAAGAGAUAUGGGGUUGUUAAGGGUACUGUCCUCACUGCCUGGCGUCUCUGUCGCUGCAAUCCCCUCGGCGGGUAUGGAUAUGAUCCACCUAGAUGGUUUGGUGAAGCUAGUCCAAGGGAAGAAGAACUCGACGAUUGAUUGAUUAAUGGCCGGUGGUGGCUAGCUGGUAGUAAAGUAAGAUGGGCGAAUAAAUGUGUACGGUUGUGUCUCCUUUCUUCCCCGACUUUCCUUAGCUUUGAUUCUAAAUUACCCGUGCCUUUCAAUAUAAAGACAAGUAUGUGGUAUCUAGUUGCUGGGAAGAACGAUGCACUUCCUUGGGGCUGAAGCCAGAACCAUUACUGGUGCUACAGUUGCAGGAGUCUGCAUUCAGGUUGUCAGAGCAAUCCUUCGUUGUUGGUUAAGAAACAAAACCACUGAAAGGAAAGGGUAAUGGAGUCGACAACAAAGAAAGAAGAAGAAAACACAGGAGAUGUUGAUAGGAUCAACAGUUUACCAGACUCGGUGCUAUGCCACAUCUUAUCAUUCCUCCCAACUAGAACGAGUGUAACGACGAGCCUCGUGUGUCGCAGGUGGCGCCACCUCUGGGAGGAUGUCCAAGUUCUAAACCUUUGUGAUGGUCUGGUCCCUUUCAAUUCCUUUGCCAUUUUUGUGAAUUCCGUUUUCACUCUACGGAAGUGUCUGAACAUUCGAAAGUUUUGUCUCACAUGUGCCUACUCAUGUGUGGACUUUUUGUCCUCCAACUCUGUCUCCACAUGGGUUCGUGCUUCCAUUGGACCCCACCUUGAGGAGCUCUGCCUCACCCUGUACUCUUACGAUGGGCACGAGUUUGUUGUCCCUCGUACCCUUUUCACUUGCAACAACCUUGUCUCCCUCAGUCUCUGUAAAGGAAUCAACAUUCCAAAUCUUUCUCUAGUUCAUUUGCCAUCCUUAAAGGUCUUGAAGCUCGACAUUGACUCUGUGGAUUCCAUUGAGACCCUUUUGCAUGGUUGCCCUGUCCUCGAAACGAUUGAUCUCUCUUUCUCUAGCGAAAGGUUCACCAAGCUUCGUUUCCCACCUUCUUUGAAGAGGUUGAAUUUUGUGGUUCAAAACGCCGUUGGGACAUACCUUGAAUUUGAUACUGCUUGUCUUAACUAUCUUAGUAUUACCCAUAUCUUUUCUUUUUUCGCUUGUUCCUUUGGUGACUUGCACAGAGUGGUGGAAGCGAAACUUGAUGUUUAUGUCACAGAUUAUUUUUACAAUAUGCUUCUGAAGCUUCUUCAAGCUCUUUCUGGAACAAACCAUCUAGUCUUAGGUUUGUCAACAACAAAGGGACUACUUCGUGCCCCAGCUUUUGAUUUUCCAAAAUUCAGCUAUUUACAUAAGCUAGAGCUCAUUUUUCCCUAUUUCGACUUGAGUUUUAUGGUGAACAUACUUGAGAAAUGUCAUAUGCUCCGACUUCUCACAAUUCUGAAUCAAAAUGAGCAGGAACUAUCCAAUUUACAAAGCUGGGGGCAACCACCAAUUGAACCGAGUUCUCAUGUAUUAAACCUGGCCUCCAUUCACUAUAAAGGAUAUCAAGGAUUUGUUGAUGAGCAAGACUUUGUUGCGUAUGUCUUACGAAGAUGUAUUAUUUUGGAGACAAUAAUUAUAUCUCCCGAUAAUUUAUUGAGCACAAGGAGAAAGUACAAAAUUCUCAAAAAAUUGUCUGAAUUAUCAAGGAGCUCCAGCAUGUGUGAACUUAAAUUUGACUGAGCUACACCUCCUUAAGUGCUUCUCAUUUUACUUGGAAAGUGAGAUAUCAUAUAUGUUUGACUAAGAAUGACUUGGAAGUUGGAAGCUUUGGACAACAUGGGAGGACCAGUGUCAAGGUCGAGAGUUUAUUAGCUACUUUGUUUUACUUCAGAAUAUGGUUUGAGGAUUAUUUUUGGUUUGUAUUUUUCGUAUUUUUUCUUGAGACUGCUUGUAUUUUUGUGAGUUAUGUUUGAGAUUUGAGACUUGUUAAACUUGAUGUGUGUUGUGUUUGAGAUUUGAGACUUGAGACUUGUUAAAUUUGAUUUGUCUGUUGUAUUUGAGAUUUGAGACUUGUUAAAUUUGAUGUGUGUUCUGCA